rnacentral:rRNA from 1 species
UGCGCAGGCGGUUUUAUAAGCCAGAUGUGAAAGCCCCGGGCUCAACCUGGGAAUGGCAUUUGGGACUGUAAGGCUGGAGUAUGGCAGAGGAGACUAGAAUUCCUGGUGUAGCAGUGAAAUGCGUAGAUAUCAGGAGGAAUACCGAUGGCGAAGGCAGGUCUCUGGGCCAAUACUGACGCUCAUGCACGAAAGGCGUGGGGAGCAAACA